rnacentral:rRNA from 1 species
GUGAGGAAUAUUGGUCAAUGGGCGGGAGCCUGAACCAACCAAGUCGCGUGAAGGAAGAAGGAUCUAUGGUUCGUAAACUUCUUUUGCAGGGGAAUAAAGUGCAGGACGUGUCCUGUUUUGUAUGUACCCUGAGAAUAAGGAUCGGCUAACUCCGUGCCAGCAGCCGCGGUAAUACGGAGGAUCCGAGCGUUAUCCGGAUUUAUUGGGUUUAAAGGGUGCGUAGGUGGUUUGAUAAGUCAGCGGUGAAAGUUUGCAGCUUAACUGUAAAAAUGCCGUUGAAACUGUCGGACUUGAGUGUAAAUGAGGUAGGCGGAAUGCGUGGUGUAGCGGUGAAAUGCAUAGAUAUCACGCAGAACUCCGAUUGCGAAGGCAGCUUACUAAGCUACAACUGACACUGAAGCACGAAAGCGUGGGGAUCAAACAGGAUUAGAUACCCCUGUAGUCC